CAGAGGACACCAUCAAAACUUUGUCCUUGGGGGCUGGGCACGGUGGCUCAUGCCUGUAAUCCCAGCACUUUGGGAGGCCAAGGCAGGCGGAUCAUUUGAGGUCAGGAGUUUGAGACCAGCCUGGCCAACAUGGUGAAACUCUGUCUCUACUAAAAAUACAAAAAUUAGCCAGGCGUGGUGGCGCGUGCCUGUAAUCUCAGCUACUCUGAGGCAGGAGAAUUGCUUGAACUCAGGAGGUUGAGGUUGCAGUGAGCCAAGAUUGCGCCAUUGCAUUCUAGCCUGUGCGACACAGACUCCAUCUCAAAAAACAAAAACAAAAACAAAAACAAAUACCUUUGUCCUUGGAGAACAUCUCCAAUGCCCAGCCAGGUCUUAGCUCAGAAGGAACCUGACUAUUGGAGUCAUUUCCUGUGGCUCACCCAGUGAAGAGAUCUUACCACCCCACAGCCACUUGGAGAGCCCCGUGCAUUGAAGACACUGGGUUUGGCCCUGGGUAUAUAGCAAUUGAAGAUCAUUUGUGAAGGACUGAUAUUGAAGAAGGCAGGGGCUAUGCUGGCUUAUUCAUUCAUCCAACAACUACUAUACUGUGCUAUUGAAUAUCAUAAAUAUUUUCCUUAUUUGUACAGGGUCUACUAUUUUCCUUUUUAUGGCUGAGUAGCAGACACACCAAAAUCUACUAAACCUAUUCUUUGUGGAUUGUAGACCAUUUAACUUAUGCCCAUUAUUGGAUCUUACAGAAUUCUGUAAUUAACUCUUCCUGCAUGGAGCUUUUUACUUUUGUUGUAUUAUUUCCUUAUAGUGUAGUAGUUGCUUAUGUGUAUAGGUUCUGGAAAGAGAUGAUCUGGUUUUUAACACUAUCCAUGGUAGUUUGGGCAAAUUUCUUAACUUCUCUAUAUCUCAGUAUUUCAUUUAUCAAGAAGGGUCACUAAUAACACCUUCCUCAUAGGAUUGUUGUGAGAAUUGAAAUGAAUAAAUUACAUGUAAAGUGCUUGGUUCUGAGUUAGUACUCUAUACAGAAUAACAACUGCUGUUAUUAUUAAUUCUUGAUCCAGGAGUAAUUUCAAGGAUAUUAAUAUUUUCAAGACUGUUUCUAGAUUGUGGUAAUGGUUGUACAACUCUGCAAAUAUAUUAAAAGUCAUUGAACUAUACACUCAAUAAAAGCCUUUUGCUAAUUAUG
rnacentral:lncRNA from 10 species